ACGCUGGCGGCGUGCCUAACACAUGCAAGUCGAACGGACGAGUUUAGAAACGAGAAUUUCGGUUCAAGUUUUUAAAUUCUAGUGGCGGACGGGUGAGUAACGCGUGAGCAAUCUGCCUUUCAGAGGGGGGAUAACACUCUGAAAAGAGUGCUAAUACCGCAUAACGUGUUUGCAGGCAUCUGCAGAACACCAAAGGAGCAAUCCGCUGUAAGAUGGACUCGCGUCUGAUUAGAUAGUUGGCGGGGUAACGGCCCACCAAGUCGACGAUCAGUAGCCGGACUGAGAGGUUGAACGGCCACAUUGGGACUGAGACACGGCCCAGACUCCUACGGGAGGCAGCAGUGAGGGAUAUUGCACAAUGGGCGCAAGCCUGAUGCAGCAACGCCGCGUGAGGGAUGACGGUUUUCGGAUUGUAAACCUCUGUCUUCAGUGAUGAUAAUGACAUUAGCUGAGGAGGAAGCCACGGCUAACUACGCG
rnacentral:rRNA from 1 species